GGCGGCUUACUGGGCUUUAACUGACGCUGAGGCUCGAAAGCGUGGGGAGCAAACAGGAUUAGAUACCCUGGUAGUCCACGCUGUAAACGAUGAUUACUAGGUGUGGGGGGACUGACCCCUUCCGUGCCGCAGUUAACACAAUAAGUAAUCCACCUGGGGAGUACGGCCGCAAGGCUGAAACUCAAAGGAAUUGACGGGGGCCCGCACAAGCAGUGGAGUAUGUGGUUUAAUUCGAAGCAACGCGAAGAACCUUACCAGGUCUUGACAUCGAGUGAAGUAUUCAGAGAUGAGUACGUCUUCGGACACAAAGACAGGUGGUGCAUGGUUGUCGUCAGCUCGUGUCGUGAGAUGUUGGGUUAAGUCCCGCAACGAGCGCAACCCUUACCAUUAGUUGCUACGCAAGGGCACUCUAAUGGGACUGCCGUUGACAAAACGGAGGAAGGUGGGGAUGACGUCAAAUCAUCAUGCCCCUUAUGACCUGGGCUACACACGUACUACAAUGGCAAUCGAACAGAGGGAAGCAAUACAGCGAUGUAAAGCAAAACCCGAAAAAUUGUCUCAGUUCGGAUUGCAGGCUGCAACCCGCCUGCAUGAAGUCGG
rnacentral:rRNA from 1 species